rnacentral:rRNA from 1 species
CUCAGGACGAACGCUGGCGGCGUGCCUAAUACAUGCAAGUCGAACGCUUCUUUUCCCACCGGAGCUUGCUCCACCGGGAAAAGAGGAGUGGCGAACGGGUGAGUAACACGUGGGUAACCUGCCCAUCAGAAGGGGAUAACACUUGGAAACAGGUGCUAAUACCGUAUAACAAUCGAAACCGCAUGGUUUCGUUUUGAAAGGCGCUUUACGGUGCCGCUGAUGGAUGGACCCGCGGUGCAUUAGCUAGUUGGUGAGGUAACGGCUCACCAAGGCCACGAUGCAUAGCCGACCUGAGAGGGUGAUCGGCCACAUUGGGACUGAGACACGGCCCAAACUCCUACGGGAGGCAGCAGUAGGGAAUCUUCGGCAAUGGACGAAAGUCUGACCGAGCAACGCCGCGUGAGUGAAGAAGGUUUUCGGAUCGUAAAACUCUGUUGUUAGAGAAGAACAAGGGUGAGAGUAACUGUUCACCCCUUGACGGUAUCUAACCAGAAAGCCACGGCUAACUACGUGCCAGCAGCCGCGGUAAUACGUAGGUGGCAAGCGUUGUCCGGAUUUAUUGGGCGUAAAGCGAGCGCAGGCGGUUUCUUAAGUCUGAUGUGAAAGCCCCCGGCUCAACCGGGGAGGGUCAUUGGAAACUGGGAGACUUGAGUGCAGAAGAGGAGAGUGGAAUUCCAUGUGUAGCGGUGAAAUGCGUAGAUAUAUGGAGGAACACCAGUGGCGAAGGCGGCUCUCUGGUCUGUAACUGACGCUGAGGCUCGAAAGCGUGGGGAGCAAACAGGAUUA